UACAGAGGUCCCAAGCGUUGUUCGGAUUCAUUGGGCGUAAAGGGUGCGUAGGCGGCGCGGUAAGUCGGGUGUGAAAUCUCGGAGCUUAACUCCGAAACUGCAUUCGAUACUGCCGUGCUUGAGGACUGGAGAGGAGACUGGAAUUUACGGUGUAGCGGUGAAAUGCGUAGAUAUCAGGAGGAACACCUAUUGCGAAGGCAGCUCGCUGGGACGUAACUGACGCUGAGACGCGAAAGCGUGGGGAGCAAACAGG
rnacentral:rRNA from 1 species